CCCCAGUUGGGGCACAUAACUCAGAAAGUUGCGGGUUUGGUCCCUGGUCUGAGUGCGUGUGACCCCAGCCUAGGUGUGAGUGGCAGGCAGUUGAUCGAUGCCUCUCUUUCACAUUGAUGUUUCUCUCUUCUCUAAAAGCAAUGAAAAAAAAAUGUCCUUGGGCAAAGAUAAACAUAAUUUUUUUAAAAGUUCCAGAUAAUUUUUUCCAGAUGACUACACUGUAAAACAUUUUGAUUUUUUUCCUACUGAGUAUAAUGGUAAAUUCAGCUUGUCAGUAAUUUCUCUUGCAGUCAUAUACCUUCAGGUCAUGCCUACCCCCAGGUAAAUGGUCUGGAUGUUGGUGCUUUUCCAGAUUUUUGUAUCUGCUUUUUAACUUAAUAGCCACUCCUCUCUGUUGGGGUGAAGCUAUAUGAGCUACACUGUUGGUUCUCGUGUUAAAUUGUGAGGUGCUUCCUGUGUCUAGGGGAGUUGGGGUGGCUUGGUGAGGGCCACUAGGGAAGGGGGCAGUUGCUGUGACAUGUUCCAGAAACUCCAGUUCAGGGCAGAAAUUAUUACAAAAGUGAAUAUCCUGAGCCUCAGAAUUGAUAAAAGGAGUGUUUUACACGUCAUCUGAUGAAGUUUUUUACCCCACCGCAGCAGCCCGUUGUAGCCCACGGACGAGGGGAGCAUGUGGAGAGUACGGUAUUCCUCAGGGUGGGGCCGGGGAGGGGCCUAGAGGAGCUCCAGCUGCCUCACAGCCCGCCUGAUCUCCCCGAGGCUGGUUCCCAACUUAGUCCAUGUAGCAACUGAGGUUUCCCAUAGGGAACUUUCUUCCAGAUGAGCAUAUCCGAUUGUGAAGCAGAAAUUGGGAAUAUCUAAAUUCUCAUCUAUGUUCAAUCCAUUCUUCAUACUGCUGACAGUAAUUAUUUCAGGCGAAAUGACCCAGCCUCUGCCACCUUGGCUCGUCUCCAGCUACAGCUGCCCUGCCCAGUCACUGCCCUCCGCCCCAGGACCUCUGUGCUCAGCCCCUGGCCUGCACCUGAGCAGAGUGCCCCACCCGGAGCACUGCCCCCUGCCCUGAUUCACUCACUCAGCAACUCCUUCUGAGGACUCAAGGUUGGGGUCAAAAGUCACUUCUGGGAAGACAGCUCGUGCGUGCAGGACCCUCUUAAAUGUUCUUAGGCUUCGACAUCCCGGUUUCAAUGGUGAUGACUCGGUGCUUCUUGCGCCUUUCGAAUGCCAGCUCCCCGAGGCAGGGAUCUGCCCUGGUCCUCGGUGUUCCCAGGGCCUGGCACAGGAGCUGACACCUGGUAGAUAGCUGAUAAACAGUUCUUCAAGAACUGAGAGAGUGAAGGGACACACGGAUAUUCAGGAUUCCAGCAUUCUGGAAUAUCCCGUCUGACCUUCAUUCCUUGACGGGCCAUGGAGGUUAAGGAAAGAAUUUUUACGCUGCUCGAGCUGCCAUAAUGAAAUACCAUAGACUGGGUGGCUUAAAAAAGACAUUUCUCACAGUGCUGGGUGCUGGGAAGUCCAAGAUCAAGUGCAGGCAGAUCUGGUUCCUGGCGACAGGCCUCUUGGUGUGCAGACUUGUCAUGGGAGGGAAAGAAACUCGUGAUCUCAUCUAAACCUCAUUACCCACCAACUGCCCACUUAUAAAUACCGUCACGUUGGGAGGGGGCAAGGCUUCAACCCACUAGUUAUGGCGGGGCACAAACGAAGUCCAUAAUGUAUGAGCUACGUGACUGAUCAGUGUGGAUUUUCCUCUCACUCAGUCAGCUCUCCUUUAGUCUGAGAAAUGUCUGGCCAACUUGAGACAAAAAGCUCGUGUGUGAGUCAGAAUUGUACGAGUGUGUACAGGCAUUUCAUUUUUCUUAUCCCUCUUUGCACUGUGUGUGAAUUGUGGAACUGAGCUGGAUGGAGUUGACCAAGAGGGUGAGAAGCAAGUUUCUUAAAGUAGAGUCGUUGACCACGGUUCUGUCACUGUAGGAGAGCCACGAAGGCGGUAAAUUGUGCUUCCUGAGAGCAGAUGCCUCUACCUUUAAUCAACGAAAAUAGAAGCGCUCACGGUUAGUCAGAGUACUUGCUCCUGAUACAAAGGGCAGCACAAAAAGGGAAUGGACUUAGUUACAAUGAGAUGCUGCCUUUUCGUUUAGGACAGCAGGAGAAAGGAACUCACUUCGCUCUCAAGGGUCACCGUAUCUGUAGUAAUGGGUGGCUCCUGAUGAGAGCGUUCUCUUUUGUUGGGGAAAAAGGAAGCUUCAGAACUUUAUGCUGAACCCCUCUCCUACUUUUCUGGGAAAAGGGUGAUUUAAAACAGAAAUGGUCAGGGUUUCUUGGGUUCCUCACUGCUCCCUCCUUGCUAGGAGAGAGCCAUAGAGGGGGUAAAGAGUAGAGACGGUAGGUGGGAGCCUGGACUCGGAGGUGCAGGAGGUUUGAGCCAGCGGAGGCGAGGGCCAAGGGGAUGAAAUGCUUGCUGUUGCCGCUUGGAGCUCUUCAAAGCUGGAGCAGGACAGCUGGCUGUUUCUGUGUCUGGGGGCAAUGCUAAAUAAAUACAUUGGAGUCUCUGUAAACUCAGACUGGAGAAAAACAGACUUCCCAAGUUCAGUUUGUGCCUUUUAUAGUUUCUUGUUUAGCAAAUUUGCCUUACAUCUGCUCAGUACUAUAAACUGCCCUUAACUUAAAGACAAAUCAUUUUGAGUUAUGAGUCUAGACGUGUGAAAAUACAGAGCAUGGGGUGCCUGAAACAAGUUCAACGUCCAAACGCAAAGCUCCCUGGAUGCCUCCGUGACCCCUGUGGCCCGCGCUGGCUGUCUCAACCCCUGGUCUCUCCGUGCUGUUCGUGCUGCAGCCUUCACCUCCCUGUGAAUUUAUUGAGGGCAGGACUGGCUUCUGAUCUUGGUAUCCACAGACUAGAGAUCCUCAUACCUAUUCAAUGAAUAAACCACAGUCUGUUCCCAGAUGUCUUUAUCACUCUUACUCUCCCUGUUGCAGGGACUAUUUGAUUUUCUUAGGAAUAUGUCUUAAAAAUCAUGGGGGAAUAAUGUACAGUGUAUGAUUCCGUUCACGCAGAUCUGUGAGGGGAAAACAGCGGUUGCCUCUGGGAGGGCUGGGGAAGGGACCCGCUGGGAAGGGGCGUGAUGAGGGAAUGGUCCAGGGUGGUGGUGGUAAUCGACAUCUGAUACGGGUCUGAGUUACACAUGCGUGUACAUUUGUGUAAACUUAGAGGACAUGCUGUUUAUAUUUCUGGGCUUUGAUCAUAGGGAAACUUCAAUAAAAAACACUGAACUUUAGUUAAUGAUGUGUAUUGCUGAGGGCUUUUGGAAGGGUAGGUACAGCUAUCUGCAAUUUAUUCAAAAUACACAAAUUAAGAUGGAUUAAUGGAAUAUUAGAUAAGUGAUAAAGCAAGUGUAAUAAAGUGUUCAUGGUGUAAUCUUGGUAAACAAAUGUUGGCUGUAAAAUUCAACUUUAUUGUAUGUUUGCACAUUUCAUAAUAAAACGAGAAAAAUCAUUA